rnacentral:rRNA from 1 species
GGUUAAGCGACUAAGCGUACACGGUGGAUGCCCUGGCAGUCAGAGGCGAUGAAGGACGUGCUAAUCUGCGAUAAGCGUCGGUAAGGUGAUAUGAACCGUUAUAACCGGCGAUUUCCGAAUGGGGAAACCCAGUGUGAUUCGUCACACUAUCAUUAACUGAAUCCAUAGGUUAAUGAGGCGAACCGGGGGAACUGAAACAUCUAAGUACCCCGAGGAAAAGAAAUCAACCGAGAUUCCCCCAGUAGCGGCGAGCGAACGGGGAGCAGCCCAGAGCCUGAAUCAGUGUGUGUGUUAGUGGAAGCGUCUGGAAAGGCGCGCGAUACAGGGUGACAGCCCCGUACACAAAAAUGCACAUGCUGUGAGCUCGAUGAGUAGGGCGGGACACGUGGUAUCCUGUCUGAAUAUGGGGGGACCAUCCUCCAAGGCUAAAUACUCCUGACUGACCGAUAGUGAACCAGUACCGUGAGGGAAAGGCGAAAAGAACCCCGGCGAGGGGAGUGAAAAAGAACCUGAAACCGUGUACGUACAAGCAGUGGGAGCACGCUUAGGCGUGUGACUGCGUACCUUUUGUAUAAUGGGUCAGCGACUUAUAUUCUGUAGCAAGGUUAACCGAAUAGGGGAGCCGAAGGGAAACCGAGUCUUAACUGGGCGUUAAGUUGCAGGGUAUAGACCCGAAACCCGGUGAUCUAGCCAUGGGCAGGUUGAAGGUUGGGUAACACUAACUGGAGGACCGAACCGACUAAUGUUGAAAAAUUAGCGGAUGACUUGUGGCUGGGGGUGAAAGGCCAAUCAAACCGGGAGAUAGCUGGUUCUCCCCGAAAGCUAUUUAGGUAGCGCCUCGUGAAUUCAUCUCCGGGGGUAGAGCACUGUUUCGGCAAGGGGGUCAUCCCGACUUACCAACCCGAUGCAAACUGCGAAUACCGGAGAAUGUUAUCACGGGAGACACACGGCGGGUGCUAACGUCCGUCGUGAAGAGGGAAACAACCCAGACCGCCAGCUAAGGUCCCAAAGUCAUGGUUAAGUGGGAAACGAUGUGGGAAGGCCCAGACAGCCAGGAUGUUGGCUUAGAAGCAGCCAUCAUUUAAAGAAAGCGUAAUAGCUCACUGGUCGAGUCGGCCUGCGCGGAAGAUGUAACGGGGCUAAACCAUGCACCGAAGCUGCGGCAGCGACGCUUAUGCGUUGUUGGGUAGGGGAGCGUUCUGUAAGCCUGUGAAGGUGUACUGUGAGGUAUGCUGGAGGUAUCAGAAGUGCGAAUGCUGACAUAAGUAACGAUAAAGCGGGUGAAAAGCCCGCUCGCCGGAAGACCAAGGGUUCCUGUCCAACGUUAAUCGGGGCAGGGUGAGUCGACCCCUAAGGCGAGGCCGAAAGGCGUAGUCGAUGGGAAACAGGUUAAUAUUCCUGUACUUGGUGUUACUGCGAAGGGGGGACGGAGAAGGCUAUGUUGGCCGGGCGACGGUUGUCCCGGUUUAAGCGUGUAGGCUGGUUUUCCAGGCAAAUCCGGAAAAUCAAGGCUGAGGCGUGAUGACGAGGCACUACGGUGCUGAAGCAACAAAUGCCCUGCUUCCAGGAAAAGCCUCUAAGCAUCAGGUAACAUCAAAUCGUACCCCAAACCGACACAGGUGGUCAGGUAGAGAAUACCAAGGCGCUUGAGAGAACUCGGGUGAAGGAACUAGGCAAAAUGGUGCCGUAACUUCGGGAGAAGGCACGCUGAUAUGUAGGUGAAGUGAUUUACUCAUGGAGCUGAAAUCAGUCGAAGAUACCAGCUGGCUGCAACUGUUUAUUAAAAACACAGCACUGUGCAAACACGAAAGUGGACGUAUACGGUGUGACGCCUGCCCGGUGCCGGAAGGUUAAUUGAUGGGGUUAGCGCAAGCGAAGCUCUUGAUCGAAGCCCCGGUAAACGGCGGCCGUAACUAUAACGGUCCUAAGGUAGCGAAAUUCCUUGUCGGGUAAGUUCCGACCUGCACGAAUGGCGUAAUGAUGGCCAGGCUGUCUCCACCCGAGACUCAGUGAAAUUGAACUCGCUGUGAAGAUGCAGUGUACCCGCGGCAAGACGGAAAGACCCCGUGAACCUUUACUAUAGCUUGACACUGAACAUUGAGCCUUGAUGUGUAGGAUAGGUGGGAGGCUUUGAAGUGUGGACGCCAGUCUGCAUGGAGCCGACCUUGAAAUACCACCCUUUAAUGUUUGAUGUUCUAACGUGGACCCGUAAUCCGGGUUGCGGACAGUGUCUGGUGGGUAGUUUGACUGGGGCGGUCUCCUCCUAAAGAGUAACGGAGGAGCACGAAGGUUGGCUAAUCCUGGUCGGACAUCAGGAGGUUAGUGCAAUGGCAUAAGCCAGCUUGACUGCGAGCGUGACGGCGCGAGCAGGUGCGAAAGCAGGUCAUAGUGAUCCGGUGGUUCUGAAUGGAAGGGCCAUCGCUCAACGGAUAAAAGGUACUCCGGGGAUAACAGGCUGAUACCGCCCAAGAGUUCAUAUCGACGGCGGUGUUUGGCACCUCGAUGUCGGCUCAUCACAUCCUGGGGCUGAAGUAGGUCCCAAGGGUAUGGCUGUUCGCCAUUUAAAGUGGUACGCGAGCUGGGUUUAGAACGUCGUGAGACAGUUCGGUCCCUAUCUGCCGUGGGCGCUGGAGAACUGAGGGGGGCUGCUCCUAGUACGAGAGGACCGGAGUGGACGCAUCACUGGUGUUCGGGUUGUCAUGCCAAUGGCACUGCCCGGUAGCUAAAUGCGGAAGAGAUAAGUGCUGAAAGCAUCUAAGCACGAAACUUGCCCCGAGAUGAGUUCUCCCUGACUCCUUGAGAGUCCUGAAGGAACGUUGAAGACGACGACGUUGAUAGGCCGGGUGUGUAAGCGCAGCGAUGCGUUGAGCUAACCGGUACUAAUGAACCGUGAGGCUUAACCUU